CAUGCGCAACGCAUAGGGAUGACAUGAAAAAUAAAAUUCUAAUUCUAAAAUACUUUAUUGAUCCCAAAUAUGUGCGAGAGAAAGAUACAAACCAAAUGGCUGUUGUCGGGAUCGACCCGUAUGUGACAAAGAAGGUAAAUAUGUCGGUGGAUGUGGACAAGAUGCCUCCGAUCAACUUCUACGAAAACGAAGAGUGUAAAACAUGGAGGAGCUUCACGGCCUGACGCAUACAGUCAACGUUUCAACGGAUUUGUUAAAGACGGACGAACUCUGCGUGUGAACAACAAGGUUCUGGUGACUGGCGGAGUGUAUCCACUCCAGUUUGAGACAACAGGGUGAGCCGGCAGCCGCAGGCUCGCUCUGUGGCAGCAGCAGAGAGAGAUCUGCCCCCCGGAGGGAAGGCCUCAUCUCGGAGAGAUUAAUUACAGGCUACGGAGCUGCAGCGCGCUGGGAGCGCACAUGGCUCCCGGGCCUAAAUAGAUUCAUCUGCGUUCACACAAACACACACAAGUGCUGCCUCACUUUUCCUCACAAGCAGGAUCCAUCAGCAAGUCGAGUCCCAGGAAGGCGUUUUGGCUGCUGUCUAAAUAACUUCCCGGGUCUACUUGGAGCAACCUGGACAUGACGUCCUAUUGGCAAACACAGGAGCAGAGUUAUCAGUAAAAUCAGCACCUGCUUGGAAUCAGUUCUGCGUGUGUGCAGCUUUUCCUGCAUGCUGCAACAGAACGGGCCUGCAGGAGAUGUAGCAGGUGGCCUCGCUCUCUGCUGAGGACAGCUGGGACCGUUUGUUGACUCUGGAUUACUGGAGCAGGAUUCCAGCAGAAUACCUCCACACUGGCCUGCUGAAUAUUUCUGUAGGUAAACAUUUACCACAGUAGUGUCAGCAAAACUCCUGGAUUACUAGAGACAAGAUGAAAUGCAGCUGAGUGUGUUCUUUGUUGGAAGCCUUUGGGAUUGCAAUUUACUCUUAAAAGGCUGAAGGAGAGUUUUAUUUUUUGCA